rnacentral:rRNA from 1 species
UAAGACAGAGGUUGCAAACGUUGUUCGGAAUUACUGGGCAUAAAGCGCACGUAGGCGGUUCGUUAAGUCAUGUGUGAAAUCCCUCGGCUCAACCGAGGAAUUGCGCCUGAUACUGGCGGGCUAGAGAUCGAUAGGGGUGAGUGGAACUCCAGGUGGAGCGGUGAAAUGCGUAGAUAUCUGGAGGAACACCGGUGGCGAAAGCGGCUCACUGGAUCGAUACUGACGCUGAGGUGCGAAAGCUAGGGUAGCAAACGGGAUUAGAUACCCCGGUAGUCCUAGCCGUAAACGAUGGGCACUGGGCAGGGGAGAUUCCUAUGUCUUCUCUGCCGUAGCUAAUGUGUUAAGUGCCCCGCCUGGGGAGUACGCUCGCAAGGGUA